rnacentral:rRNA from 1 species
AACGGCCGUACCAUGCUGAAUAUACCGGUUCUCGUUAGAUCACCGAAGUUAAGCAUCAUUGGGCGCGGUCAGUACUUGGGUGGGUGACCACCUGGGAACAUUGCGUGCCGUU